GCAAAAAGCUAGCCUAAACACACCCCAUAAAUAACCAACCAUAAAUAAUACACAAACAACAACUAAAACAUUUUUCCUCCUAAGUAUAGGUGAUAGAAAAGGACCCCCCAGAGCUAUAGAAAAAGUACCGCAAGGGAAAGCUGAAAAAGAAGUGAAAUAAAUUUAUAAAGCAACAAAAAGCAGAGACUAAGACUCGUACCUUUUGCAUCAUGAUUUAGCAAGCACCCGCCCAAGCAAGAAGAACUCACAGUUUGAAGCCCCGAAACUAGACGAGCUACUCCGGAGCAGUACUAAAGAACCAACCCGUCUCUGUGGCAAAAGAGUGGGAAGACCCCCGAGUAGAAGUGAAAAGCCUAACGAGCCUAGUUAUAGCUGGUUGCUUAAGAAAUGAAUAUUAGUUCAGCCCCGCACACUCCUUCAAUCAAUAUAACCCUUAUUAAAGAACUAGAGUAAGAUGCCGGAGUUAGUCAAAGGGGGUACAGCUCCUUUGAAAAAGAACACAACCUUAUUGAGAGGGUAAGGAUCAUAAAACACCCAAGGACAUAGUCCCCCAGUGGGCCCAAAAGCAGCCACCUGAAAAGAAAGCGUUAUAGCUCAAGGAAAACCCUGACCAAUAAUAAUGAUAACAAAAUCCAAACCCCUCACAAAAUAUUAAGCCACUCUAUGCUUACAUAGAAGAGACAAUGCUAAAAUGAGUAAUAAGAGAAUGUAAUUCUCUCCCGGCAUGAGUGUAUAUCAGAACGGAAAAACCACUGAUAAUUAACGAACCCAAAUCCAGAGGGAAAAGCAAUUAAACCAACUAAACAAGAAAACCCUGCAUGAGAACAACCGUUAACCCCACACAGGAGUGCCAGCUAAGGAAAGACUAAAAGGAGAAGAAGGAACUCGGCAAACACCAACCCCGCCUGUUUACCAAAAACAUCGCCUCUUGCUAAAAAGAAUGUAUUAGAGGUCCCGCCUGCCCAGUGACCACAGAGUUAAACGGCCGCGGUAUUAUAACCGUGCAAAGGUAGCGUAAUCAUUUGUCUUUUAAAUGAAGACCUGUAUGAAUGGCAUCACGAGGGUUUAACUGUCUCCUCCCCCCAGUCAAUGAAAUUGAUCUACCCGUGCAGAAGCGGAUAUGAAAACAUAAGACGAGAAGACCCUAUGGAGCUUUAGGCUGAAGAUCCAAACACGUAAAGAAAUUUUUUAUAACAAAAGAAAUAAAACAAGUUUAAACCCAGUGCCCACAUGAUCAUAUGCCUUCGGUUGGGGCGACCACGGGGAAAAACAAAGCCCCCGUACGGAAUGAGAACUUCCCCUCCAAACUAAGAGAUACACCUCUAAGUAACAGAAAAUCUGACCAAACAUGACCCGGAGCAAACAAAUCCGAUCAAUGAACCAAGUUACCCUAGGGAUAACAGCGCAAUCCCUUCCCAGAGUCCCUAUCGACGAAGGGGUUUACGACCUCGAUGUUGGAUCAGGAUAUCCUAAUGGUGAAGCCGCUAUUAAGGGUUCGUUUGUUCAACGAUUAAUAAUCCUACGUGAUCUGAGUUCAGACCGGAGCAAUCCAGGUCGGUUUCUAUCUAUGACCUUACUUUUCCCUAGUACGAAAGGACCGGGAAAAGGGGGCCCAUAUUUAAAGCAAGCCCCACCUCAACCCCCUGACAACAAAUAAAAUGGAUAAUGAGAUAAACACUUUCCCCCCCACAAUUAAAGACCAUAAUGU
rnacentral:rRNA from 1 species